GUUGUAUGGUUAAGUGACUAAGCGUACACGGUGGAUGCCUUGGCAGUCAGAGGCGAUGAAAGACGUAGUAACUUGCGAUAAGCCCAGAUUAGGUAGUAACAACCAUUUGAGUCUGGGAUUUCUGAAUGGGGAAACCCACGUGCAUAAGCACGUAUCCUUACCUGAAUACAUAGGGUAAGGAGGCGAACCGGGGGAACUGAAACAUCUAAGUACCCCGAGGAAAAGAAAUCAACCGAGAUUCCGAAAGUAGCGGCGAGCGAAAUUGGACUAGCCCUUAAGCUUUACACGCGUUAGACGAACGGUCUGGAAAGUCCGACGAUACAGGGUGAUAGUCCCGUAGUUGACGACGUGUGUUCAGUGAAAUCGAGUAGGGCGGGACACGUGAUAUCCUGUCUGAAUAUGGGGGGACCAUCCUCCAAGGCUAAAUACUACUGACUGACCGAUAGUGAACCAGUACCGUGAGGGAAAGGCGAAAAGAACCCCUGUGAGGGGAGUGAAAUAGAACCUGAAACCGUGUACGUACAAGCAGUAGGAGCAGGCUUGUCCUGUGACUGCGUACCUUUUGUAUAAUGGGUCAGCGACUUAUAUUCAGUGGCAAGGUUAACCAUCUAGGGGAGCCGUAGGGAAACCGAGUCUUAACUGGGCGUUCAGUCUCUGGAUAUAGACCCGAAACCAGGUGAUCUAGCCAUGGGCAGGUUGAAGGUUGAGUAACAUCAACUGGAGGACCGAACCGACUAAUGUUGAAAAAUUAGCGGAUGACUUGUGGCUAGGGGUGAAAGGCCAAUCAAACCUGGAGAUAGCUGGUUCUCCCCGAAAGCUAUUUAGGUAGCGCCUCGGACGAAUACUACUGGGGGUAGAGCACUGUUAAGGCUAGGGGGUCAUCCCGACUUACCAACCCUUUGCAAACUCCGAAUACCAGUAAGUACUAUCCGGGAGACACACGGCGGGUGCUAACGUCCGUCGUGGAGAGGGAAACAACCCAGACCGCCAGCUAAGGUCCCAAAUUACUACUAAGUGGGAAACGAUGUGGGAAGGCUCAGACAGCCAGGAUGUUGGCUUAGAAGCAGCCAUCAUUUAAAGAAAGCGUAAUAGCUCACUGGUCGAGUCGGCCUGCGCGGAAGAUGUAACGGGGCUAAGUAGUAAACCGAAGCUGCGGCAAUACUCUUUGAGUAUUGGGUAGGGGAGCGUUCUGUAAGCGGUUGAAGGUGUGUGGUAACGCAUGCUGGACGUAUCAGAAGUGCGAAUGCUGACAUGAGUAACGAUAAAGGGGGUGAAAAACCUCCUCGCCGGAAGACCAAGGGUUCCUGUCCAACGUUAAUCGGGGCAGGGUAAGUCGACCCCUAAGGCGAGGCCGAAAGGCGUAGUCGAUGGGAAACGGGUUAAUAUUCCCGUACUUCUUACAAUUGCGAUGGGGGGACGGAGAAGGCUAGGUGGGCCUGGCGACGGUUGUCCAGGUUCAAGUGCGUAGGCUUAAGAGUUAGGUAAAUCCGGCUCUUUUUAAGGCUGAGACACGACGUCGAGCACCUACGGGUGUGAAGUCAUUGAUGCCAUGCUUCCAGGAAAAGCCUCUAAGCUUCAGAUUGUAAGGAAUCGUACCCCAAACCGACACAGGUGGUCGGGUAGAGAAUACCAAGGCGCUUGAGAGAACUCGGGUGAAGGAACUAGGCAAAAUGGUACCGUAACUUCGGGAGAAGGUACGCUCUUGAUGGUGAAGUCCCUUGCGGAUGGAGCUGACGAGAGUCGCAGAUACCAGGUGGCUGCAACUGUUUAUUAAAAACACAGCACUGUGCAAAAUCGUAAGAUGACGUAUACGGUGUGACGCCUGCCCGGUGCCGGAAGGUUAAUUGAUGGGGUUAGACUUCGGUCGAAGCUCUUGAUCGAAGCCCCGGUAAACGGCGGCCGUAACUAUAACGGUCCUAAGGUAGCGAAAUUCCUUGUCGGGUAAGUUCCGACCUGCACGAAUGGCGUAAUGAUGGCCACGCUGUCUCCACCCGAGACUCAGUGAAAUUGAAAUCGCUGUGAAGAUGCAGUGUACCCGCGGCUAGACGGAAAGACCCCGUGAACCUUUACUACAGCUUGGCACUGAACAUUGACCCUACAUGUGUAGGAUAGGUGGGAGGCUUUGAAGCACGUACGCCAGUAUGUGUGGAGCCGUCCUUGAAAUACCACCCUUGUAGUGUUGAUGUUCUAACGUCGACCCCUUAUCGGGGUUGCGGACAGUGCCUGGUGGGUAGUUUGACUGGGGCGGUCUCCUCCCAAAGAGUAACGGAGGAGCACGAAGGUGGGCUAAUCACGGUUGGACAUCGUGAGGUUAGUGCAAUGGCAUAAGCCCGCUUGACUGCGAGAAUGACAAUUCGAGCAGGUGCGAAAGCAGGUCAUAGUGAUCCGGUGGUUCUGAAUGGAAGGGCCAUCGCUCAACGGAUAAAAGGUACUCCGGGGAUAACAGGCUGAUACCGCCCAAGAGUUCAUAUCGACGGCGGUGUUUGGCACCUCGAUGUCGGCUCAUCACAUCCUGGGGCUGAAGUCGGUCCCAAGGGUAUGGCUGUUCGCCAUUUAAAGUGGUACGCGAGCUGGGUUUAGAACGUCGUGAGACAGUUCGGUCCCUAUCUGCCGUGGGCGUUGGAAGAUUGAAGGGGGCUGCUCCUAGUACGAGAGGACCGGAGUGGACGAACCUCUGGUGUUCGGGUUGUGUCGCCAGACGCAUUGCCCGGUAGCUAAGUUCGGAAUCGAUAACCGCUGAAAGCAUCUAAGCGGGAAGCGAGCCCUGAGAUGAGUCUUCCCUGAUACUUUAAGUAUCCUAAAGGGUUGUCGGAGACUACGACGUUGAUAGGUCAGGUGUGUAAGUGCUGUGAGGCAUUGAGCUAACUGAUACUAAUUGCCCGUGAGGCUUAACCAUACAACACCCAAGGGGUUU
rnacentral:rRNA from 1 species